rnacentral:rRNA from 1 species
CAGUCGCCACGGGAAUACGUAGGGUGCAAGCGUUAAUCGGAAUUACUGGGCGUAAAGCGUGCGCAGGCGGUUAUAUAAGUCAGAUGUGAAAUCCCCGGGCUCAACCUGGGAACUGCAUUUGAGACUGUAUGGCUAGAGUGUGUCAGAGGGGGGUAGAAUUCCACGUGUAGCAGUGAAAUGCGUAGAUAUGUGGAGGAAUACCGAUGGCGAAGGCAGCCCCCUGGGAUAACACUGACGCUCAUGCACGAAAGCGUGGGGAGCAAACAGGAUUAGAUACCCGUGUAGUCCCUGUCUCUUAUAC